rnacentral:lncRNA from 1 species
CUGGUGAUGUAGUUGGAAGCCUGGAGUUGAUUAUAAAAAACUUAUUAUGUGUGGUACUAAAUAUAUAGCAUCCCUUGUCUAAUAAAACCGUAGAAGUGAUUCAUCUUGGUCACACUGCAGUUUCUUCAGGGGUGCUUUAUAAUUUCAGUGCUCAUUGUCAUGCCUAAUAUAUUUUUUUUGGCUGGUAAGUCCUACAGCUCCGUGUAGCAAGGCAAGAAGUUUUUACAUCAGCUUCGUAAUGCUGAGCUCCACGCUUUUGUUUUUCAACUUGUCUGUGUUCCAGAAGGUUUUAUGAUUAUUUGAUGAUUUAUAGUUUCAUAUGAUUCUGUGAUUUUAGUACUCCUCAUCUGAAUGAUAAAAAGUAAAGUUCAAAGAAUAAAGCUUGACUUAUGGCCAGAUGAAAAAUAAAUGAUGCGUUGCUAAUGAAACUGGAAAGGUUUCAAUAGCCAGAAAAAGCAACAGAACUUGGUAUGGGAAACAAGAUAUGUAAUGGCUAUGGCCAGGAGACAGAAUGAAAAAGAGGAUGGCACUAAGUUAGCAAAUCCAGCAAAUCCUAAGUGCAAGGUUUUGGAGAAUAAGGAGAAGUAAAAACACAGUUUAAGCUGUUUGAAGAAUGCCAUGUCCUAUUUCUUUGUGUUCACUGUAGGCAAUACAUCUGACGAGAAAAAAAAAAAAACUAACAAGACAAAAAAAUGAUACCAACAUGAAUUGUAAAUAUGAAAGGGAAAGAAAAGUUGUAAAUUGAAGUAUCUAGGAUGAAGAAAAAAAAUGUCAUGGACAGACUUUGAGAAAGAACAAUAGCCUGGAAGUCAGUGGGUGCUAGAGCAAGAAAAGCGGUUUGUUCAGCUCUGUUACGCUAGAGGAUGGCACAGAUGCAGACUGCUGCUGUGACAUGCACCCUUGACAGAACCCAACAUGUCAGAAUAUACAUGUUCCUGAGCGUGGGACUGACAGAAGCUGUAAUCCCGAAUGGCUCAGUAAUGUUGGAAAGAUCACUGUGUUCUUAGCAGUCCUCAUUUCCGCUGCUGUCUUUGAGACGCUGUUGAACAAGAAUGAUUGACACAAGGAGGGAAUUACAUGUUCAAGGUAAAUUGUAGGUGAUUAAUUCCCAUACUGAAAAGAAACGCAUUGAAAAACAUCAAGGUAUAAAUAGAAAACACAUACCUCAGUCAAAAAAGAACACUCAGCUGCAAACAAAAGUAAUGUUAUUGCUGCUGUCUUUUGAGCCCAAAG